rnacentral:tRNA from 1 species
AUUUAAAUAGUUUAUUUAAAAUAUUGAUUUGUGGAAUCAAUGAUAUGAUAUUUUAUCAUUUUAAAUA